GACGAACCGUCCAAACGUUGUUCGGAAUCACUGGGCUUAAAGGGCGCGUAGGCGGGUCAUCAAGUCGGGGGUGAAAUCUUUCAGCUCAACUGGAAAAGAGCUUCCGAUACUGGUGGUCUCGAGGGAGGUAGGGGUCGAUGGAACUUCCGGUGGAGCGGUGAAAUGCGUAGAUAUCAAGUGGAACACCAGUGGCGAAGGCGAAUCCCUGGAAAAUACCUGACACUGAGGCACGAAAGCUAGGGGAGCAAACAGG
rnacentral:rRNA from 1 species